AUACGUAGGGGGCAAGCGUUGUCCGGAAUUAUUGGGCGUAAAGCGCGCGCAGGCGGUCUUUUAAGUCAGGUGUCUAAUGCCGGGGCUCAACCCUGGUCCGCACCUGAAACUGGGAGACUUGAGUGCAGAAGAGGAGAGCGGAAUUCCACGUGUAGCGGUGAAAUGCGUAGAGAUGUGGAGGAACACCAGUGGCGAAGGCGGCUCUCUGGCCUGUAACUGACGCUGAGGCGCAAAAGCGUGGGUAGCAAACAGGAUUAGAUACCCUGGUAGUCCACGCCGUAAACGAUGAAUGCUAGGUGUCAGGGGUUUCGAUGCCCUUGGUGCCGAAGUCAACACAUUAAGCAUUCCGCCUGGGGAGUACGGUCGCAAGACUGAA
rnacentral:rRNA from 1 species